rnacentral:lncRNA from 1 species
CCGGCCCUCGCCCGGGAGUGCGUGUGUGCGCGCGUGUGUGCGCGAGUGAGUGUGUGCGCGGGGUGCGCGCGCGGGCGGGAGUGGGCGCGCGCGGGGAAAGGCCCGAAAACACCUUAGUUUGCACCGAGAGACCAUUUGCAGCGGAACCCGAAAGUUUGCAAGAGGAAGAGAGCGCGCGGCGAGCGAGCGAGCGGGCCGGGGGCAGCGGCAGCGGCGCCGGGGACCAUGGUGCUGCCGGCGCCUCCUCCGCGGGCGUGAAGGCGGCGCUCCUACUCCCUCCCCGGACUCCGCGGUGUCCCAGAAGCUUUUGUUGACAAUUCCAGUUUCCGAACAAAACAUCUCGGCAAUGGUGAGGGCUUCGAUCCCUUCUCUGAUUUGCUGUCAGCCAUGAACGGAUGGAUGUGAUGCCUGCUAGCCAAAAGGCUUCCCUCUGUGUAUUGCAGUCCUGUGGCAUUAUGCAUGCCCCCUCCCAGUGACCCCAGGCUUUUUAUGGCUGUGAGACACGUUAAAUUUUCAGGGUAAGUGACAGACACCACUGAUGCUGUAUACCACCUAAAAAUUGCCAU